GCGGAGGUAGCGAAGUGGCCAAACGUGGCAGACUCAAGAUCUGCUCCCUUAGUGGGUUCGCAGGUUCGAAUCCUGUCCUCCGCA
rnacentral:tRNA from 2 species